rnacentral:rRNA from 1 species
GUGGGGAAUAUUCCGCAAUGGACGAAAGUCUGACGGAGCAACGCCGCGUGAGUGAUGAAGGUUUUCGGACUGUAAAGCUCUGUUGUUUGGGACGAAAGUGCCUGUUGCGAACAGUUACGGGUAUUGACGGUACUAAACGAGGAAGCCACGGCUAACUACGUGCCAGCAGCCGCGGUAAUACGUAGGUGGCAAGCGUUGUCCGGAAUUAUUGGGCGUAAAGAGCAUGUAGGCGGGAAUCUAAGUCUGUUGUUAAAAUGCGGGGCUCAACCCCGUAGUGCGAUGGGAACUGGGUUUCUUGAGUGCAGGAGAGGAAAGGGGAAUUCCCAGUGUAGCGGUGAAAUGCGUAGAUAUUGGGAGGAACACCAGUGGCGAAGGCGCCUUUCUGGACUGUGUCUGACGCUGAGAUGCGAAAGCCAGGGUAGCGAACGGGAUUAGAAACCCCAGUAGUCC